CCCUUAGAUGUUCUGGGCCGCGCGCGCGCUACACUGAUGCAUUCAACGAGUUUCUUCCUGGUCCGAGAGGAAUGGGUAACCUUUUGAAAGUGCAUCGUGAUAGGGAUAGACUAUUGCAAUUAUUGGUCUUCAACGAGGAAUUCCUAGUAGACGUAGUUCAUCAGACUGCAUCGAUUACGUCCCUGCCCUUUGUACACACCGCCCGUCGCUCCUACCGAUUGAAUGCUCAGGUGAGCCAUUCGGACUUUCAUCAUGCUGGUUUCCAGUUUUGAUGAAGGAAAGUCUUGCGAACCUUAUCAUUUAGAGGAAGGAGAAGUCGUAACA
rnacentral:rRNA from 1 species